GCCUCGGUGGCUCAGGUGGAUAGAGCGUCUGCCAUGAAAGCAAGAGAUCCCGGGUUCGAGUCCUGGUCGGGGCA